GGAUAUGAGGGUGAUCUGGCUGUGACGUCUAUCACCCCGUGGAUGUGGCUGGCUGUGUGGGCAUCCCUUUCCUUCCUCACCACUCCACAUGUGGCCCUUCUUAAGGUGCAUGCUGAGCCAAAGAGGAUGACCAUCCCCAAAUAGAGGAGGACCAAUCUUUGAUCAAGGGUAUAUGAGUAGCUGCGCUUCUCUGCUAAAACUUCAAAACAAGCUCUCAAGUGGCUUUUAUAUGACAGCACAGUUCUUUCUUUCAUGCCUUGUGUCACUUUCAGACAAGUACGGUAACUCACACUGGUCCU
rnacentral:snRNA from 1 species